UCAAAACACCAGCAUCACCACCAACCACCCACCUUCUUCCCCCGCCCCAUACCUCUGGCCAUCCCUGCCGCUGUGGAUCUCGCCCACGUCCCACGUCCCCACCUCCCACCCAUCCCAGCCGCCGCCUCCCAUGUCGCGCCCCACUUCCCUCCCCACCUUCUCCGAAGCGGCGACCCCUACCCUCCCCACCUUCUCCGGCGGCGCCGCCCACCACCUUCUCCGGCCACAUCCCAUGGCACCACCUUCUACGCCGGCCGCCACCCUUCUCUUUCUCCCUCGCCAUCAGCGGUCAUGGCGGGAUCCGGCCGCUCCUCCGCCCCCGACGCGGCCUCAGCCACCGGAUCCAGCCGCCACGACCAUUGGUGCGGCCAUAAACGACGAAUCCGGCCGCCGCCGACCCUCAGUGUGGAAUCCGUCCACUCGCGCAGCCCGGCGCUGGAUCCGACGAAAUCCACACCAGUGCCUCUGCUGCCCGCGGCGGAUCCGGCCCUGGUCGUCCUCUCCCUCUACGGCAGGGAGGCCCCGUCGAGCAACUCCCCUGCUUGCCACCGGGAGGAGGCCAGUCAGGAGGCAUGCACUAGCACCCCUCCGCUUCCCGCGGCGGAUCCGACGAGCAAACCAACCUACUCAUUCAGCAAAAAUCCGCGCACGUGCAGCCGGGCUCCUUCCCCCACCGCAUAAAUCUGACCCCCGUCGCCUCCUCCUCAUUCAGUGCAGUUCAGAAGCUUCCAUUGGGUAUAUUUUGCAGUGCGUUGAUGCAGUCCAUUGGGGGUGAGCCCUCACAGUAUUCGGCAUGUGUCGUGCAGUGCGGUGCACGCGGUCGUGCAGUCCGGUGGCGGUGCCCAUGUAAGAAGUGCUGUGAGCAUUUCGUCGCAAAUCAACCCCUCCUAAUCCGUUCAAGCGCCGACGGGACCCUAUCUCCAGCUCACUGAAGUUUGUUUUGCAGCUAGCUUGCUUGUACAGUGCAUUUACAGUGCAUGCAUUACGUCUGGCGAGCGCGUGCGCUUCGGCGGCGCAGACCAUUUGCAUUCUUGCUAUGUUAAUGCGUGCGAUUCAGUGCAUUUCAGAAAAAAAAAUGAAGUUGGGUUGUACUUUGUGUGUGAUUGUAAUGUGGAGACAUAAAAAGGGACUAUUUGUGUGGAUUACUCAGUUUGUAAAAUCGUUUCUUUGUAAAAGCAGUGCGCUCGGUGAACCGAAGAAGUACAUUUUUCAAAAUUAU